GGGCGCGUAGCUCAGCGGGAGAGCGCUCGCUUCACACGCGAGAGGUCGGUGGUUCGAAACCACCCGUGCCCA
rnacentral:tRNA from 1 species